AUGCGUAGCUAAAUUCCUUCAAUCCAGGAAUACGAUGAAGUCUGUAAAUAAAUUUUUAUUUUUUUAUAUAUUUAAUUUUUAUACAAUAAAUUUAUAUUUAUAUUUUAUUUUUUUAUUUUUAUAAGAUAUUGAUCCAGCCUACAUGGCCUAUACCCUCUAUUAAUGUGCUGUGAUCGCUGGAUAUGAUACAUACUUAGAAGAGAUAGAUCGUGG
rnacentral:lncRNA from 1 species